AUGCUUUUGCCUCACAGAUUCAUAUCCAAAGAGUUUUGGUUUGAUCCAACUGAUGAUAUUCUCAUGAGCUUUUAUUUGAGGAAGAAGAUCUAUAACCAACAUCUUCAAUUUCAAGAAUCCUUCAGUUUGAUGUGUUCCAAACUGAGCCAUGGAGACUACCAAUUGGUAAAUACAAGAAAAUCAUUAAGUGAUAGGAAAUACUAUUUUUUUGAUCUGAGGAACGGUGGGUUUGAAAACAUGGACAUAAGAGCAGCUGGUAAAGGUGAAUGGAGAAUUGUAGAAAAAAGAAAAGAAGUUUCUCUCAAAAGUCUUUACUUCAUUGGGAGAAAGAACAGUUUUGAGUAUUGGAAGAUGGAAGGAAGAGAACUAGUGAAAAGUGAAUGGAUGAUGGAGGAGUUUCACAUCAGUCCAAUUCUUGAUCCAAACAUGAAGUCAAAAUUAGGAGCAUAUCGAGUCUUUAAGAUGAAGGUGGCAAAGGGCGAGAAGAAAGUUUCUACAC